rnacentral:pre_miRNA from 7 species
UCCUCUGGUGGCAAAUCCUUUCGGAUCUGCCAUGAUACUGUAAGACCCCCUUUCGGGGACCCCCACUCUAGUCUCGGGGAAAGAGAAUGCACCCAAAGAAACACGAGAAUCC